CUAAAACCACUCUGAGUGGAGAACAGCAUUUUAAACAACAACAUUUAUCUGAGAAAAGGAGUCAUCACAGAGAAGAAUCUGACGACUUUAAACCUGAACCCAGCUGUGUGUCUAUGAAGAGUGAUCGAUCAAAGGAUGACCUCAUUAACUUUAAAAGACAAGAACCCUCAACUGUGAAGAAGAAGCAGCUGAAACCUGAACCCAGCUGUGUGUCUAUGAAGAGUGAUCACUCAAAGGAUGACCUCAUUAACUUUAAAAGACAAGAACCUUCAACUGUGAAGAAGUAAGUUAUGAAUUAAUGUAAAAUUAACAUCAUGGUCAGAUGUACUUCUGAGUAAAUCCUGCUACUAUAGAGCCACAAUACGUCUCUCCUGAACUAACUGUGGAAAAUUCAUGUUUUCAUCAUCGACUGGUAAAACAAGCAGCACCUUUAGACUAGGUUACUGUGUGAUGUCAGAGGCUUUCUAGGUUUAUGUAUGUGAUAAUAUUCCAGUUGGACUUUAAGUUAAGUUUCAUUUGUUGAUUGUUUAAAUCUGAUAAACUGAGGAUUUCUCUUCAUCUACCAGGAUACAACAGAAACCAGACUCACAAGAACCAAAACAUGAACCCAGCUCGAAGAAGAGAAAUUCGUUGUUUAAUUUUAAAAGGAAAUUAUCUGCUUCAAUGAAGUAAGACAUUAAUUAAUUUACAAAGUCGCUGAUUUUGUGGUAAAGUGAUAAAAUAACGGCUGUUUGGAAAGUCAGAUGAUUGAGACAUGUGGACUUUCUGUGAUCCUCAGUCAUCAGGUUUAGAAUUGAUCAGUGGUUUCUCCUCUUUAUUAAUGUCACAGUAGAGAUUAUUCUGAUCAGAACAUUCACUACACAACACACUAUCAUUAACUCUCUGUGGUUUAUGUUUGACAGGAAAAACAAACAUUGAUUACAGAUGGUGGAGACAAUAAUGUAGACUAAUUGUUGAUUAUUCAUUCACAGGGUGGAGCAGCAGAGUUUAAAUGUUCUCAG